rnacentral:rRNA from 1 species
GGCGGAGGAGGCUAGCGUUGUUCGGAAUUACUGGGCGUAAAGCGCGCGCAGGCGGCCAUUCAAGUCAGGGGUGAAAGCCCGGGGCUCAACCUCGGAACUGCCUUUGAGACUGGAUGGCUCGAGACCGAGAGAGGAGAGUGGAAUUCCCAGUGUAGAGGUGAAAUUCGUAGAUAUUGGGAAGAACACCGGUGGCGAAGGCGGCUCUCUGGCUCGGUACUGACGCUCAUGCGCGAAAGCGUGGGGAGCAAACAGG